ensembl:lncRNA
AUGUCUAUUUUCAGGGCUCCUGGAAGAUUUUUACAAAAGAUUGAAAGGAUGAAAGUUCUCGAGCUGAAAAAGAGUCUGAAUCUUCAGGUGAAAAGAAACUUCAGAGAUGGCUCAAAAGUGAGACAUAAUCAUGAUGUUGAGGACAGACCUUGUGGAGAACAAAAUUCAUCCUUGGUACUGUAAUUUGUUUUGUUAGUUCAUUCAGAACGUUUUCUAUGGUGACUGUGCCAUAUUGUCUAUGAUCUGAAAAAAUACAAAUGAUUGUUAAAGGAUGAACUGUAUAUUUAUCCAGAUAGUGUGCAUUAUGUAAAAUGAGACCCACAUGUUAAAUUACAUAUUUCAGAUCUAGUCUUCUCAUUGAAAAUUUAUUUGAAAGACAAUAAUUGCACUUUGUAAUAUUUAAUAAUAGAUUAGGCUAUAUUUUCAAUUAUUAUAAUUAACAAAAUCAGAUUAUUAUUAUUAUUAUUAUUAUUAUUAUUAUUAUUAUUAUUUUUAUUUUAUUUUUUUUGCUGACACUGUCACAAAGGAGCCACCUCAGAAGUGUUAAGCUAUAGUAGCAGUUUAGUUUUGAAUGGUAUUGCACUGUUAGUUAAAAUGCUUUUUAAUUGCACCUUUGGAAUUAUUAGGAUGGAAGUGAUGUGGGAGACUGUAAUUGGUCUCCACUUUUGGAGCAAGACAAUGAAUGUUCAUCUUCUUUUGAAAAGGUAAACUCAUUAUUAUUAUUAUUAUUAUUAUUAUUUUUAAAUAAAAGUCCCUUUGUAGGUUACAUGUGCAUUUAUUUCAAAUGUUUUUACACUCUCACCUACAGGACGCAUUGCCUGAAAGUGACGCUGCAGUCGCAAGUCAUCUUGUAAAGCCUGAGACUCAACAGCUAGAAUGCAAAUCAGCGUUUCCUGAUCAUAAGGUAAUUCUCUAUAUAUUAUAGUAAGAGUAUAAAAUUUACCUGAGAAGUAAAAGAUAAAAUUUACCUGUUCAAUAUUUAUGUAUUAUUAAGGGUUUAAUUUGUGUUGAUGUUUAUGUGUGUUUUCAGGGCUCCUGUGAGAAUUUGACAACAGCUUUAAAAGAUAGACCACAUGCUGAAAAGGAGUCUGAAUCUUCAAGUCAAAAAGUAGUUAAAUUGUGUAUAUAUAUAUAUAUAUAUAUAUAUAUAUAUAUAUAUAUAUAUAUAUAUAUAUAUAUAUAUAUAUA